rnacentral:rRNA from 1 species
CCCUAGUAACUGCGAGUGAAGCGGGAAAAGCUCAAAUUUAAAAUCUGGUGGUCUUCGGCCAUCCGAGUUGUAAUCUAGAGAAGUGUUACCCGCGUCGGACCGUGUACAAGUCUCCUGGAAUGGAGCGUCAUAGAGGGUGAGAAUCCCGUCUUUGACACGGACUACCGAGGCUUUGUGGUGCGCUCUCAAAGAGUCGAGUUGUUUGGGAAUGCAGCUCAAAAUGGGUGGUAAAUUCCAUCUAAAGCUAAAUAUUGGCGAGAGACCGAUAGCGAACAAGUACCGUGAGGGAAAGAUGAAAAGAACUUUGGAAAGAGAGUUAAACAGUACGUGAAAUUGCUAAAAGGGAAACGCUUGAAGUCAGUCGCGUUGGCCGGAAAUCAGCCUUGCUUUUGUGAGGUGUACUUUCUGGUUGACGGGCCAGCAUCAGUUUUGACCGGUGGAGAAAGUCUAGGGGAAUGUGGCAUCUUCGGAUGUGUUAUAGCCCUUGGUCGUAUACAUCGGUUGGGACUGAGGAACUCAGCACGCCGCAAGGCCGGGUCUCUGACCACGUUCGUGCUUAGGAUGCUGGCAUAAUGGCUUUAAUCGACCCGUCUUGAAACACGGACCAAGGAGUCUAACAUGCCUGCGAGUGUUUGGGUGGAAAACCCGGACGCGUAAUGAAAGUGAAAGUUGAGAUCCUUGUCAUGGGGAGCAUCGACGCCCGGACCAGAAGUUUUCUGACGGCCCUGCGGUAGAGCAUGUAUGUUGGGACCCGAAAGAUGGUGAACUAUGCCUGAAUAGGGUGAAGCCAGAGGAAACUCUGGUGGAGGCUCGUAGCGAUUCUGACGUGCAAAUCGAUCGUCAAAUUUGGGUAUAGG